UGCGUUGUUGGGCUUGCUUAUUCAUGCAGUCGAGCGAAUGGAUUAAGAGCUUGCUCUUAUGAAGUUAGCGGCGGACGGGUGAGUAACACGUGGGUAACCUGCCCAUAAGACUGGGAUAACUCCGGGAAACCGGGGCUAAUACCGGAUAACAUUUUGAACCGCAUGGUUCGAAAUUGAAAGGCGGCUUCGGCUGUCACUUAUGGAUGGACCCGCGUCGCAUUAGCUAGUUGGUGAGGUAACGGCUCACCCAGGCAACGAUGCGUAGCCGACCUGAGAGGGUGAUCGGCCACACUGGGACUGAGACACGGCCCAGACUCCUACGGGAGGCAGCAGUAGGGAAUCUUCCGCAAUGGACGAAAGUCUGACGGAGCAACGCCGCGUGAGUGAUGAAGGCUUUCGGGUCGUAAAACUCUGUUGUUAGGGAAGAACAAGUGCUAGUUGAAUAAGCUGGCGCCUUGACGGUACCUAACCAGAAAGCCACGGCUAACUACGUGCCAGCAGCCGCGGUAAUACGUAGGUGGCAAGCGUUAUCCGGAAUUAUUGGGCGUAA
rnacentral:rRNA from 1 species